rnacentral:rRNA from 1 species
GAUGAACGCUGGCGGCGUGCCUAAUACAUGCAAGUCGAGCGAACAGACGAGGAGCUUGCUCCUCUGACGUUAGCGGCGGACGGGUGAGUAACACGUGGAUAACCUACCUAUAAGACUGGGAUAACUUCGGGAAACCGGAGCUAAUACCGGAUAAUAUAUUGAACCGCAUGGUUCAAUAGUGAAAGACGGUUUUGCUGUCACUUAUAGAUGGAUCCGCGCCGCAUUAGCUAGUUGGUAAGGUAACGGCUUACCAAGGCAACGAUGCGUAGCCGACCUGAGGGGGUGGUCGGCCACACUGGAACUGAGACACGGUCCAGACUCCUACGGGAGGCAGCAGUAGGGAAUCUUCCGCAAUGGGCGAAAGCCUGACGGAGCAACGCCGCGUGAGUGAUGAAGGUCUUCGGAUCGUAAAACUCUGUUAUUAGGGAAGAACAAAUGUGUAAGUAACUAUGCACGUCUUGACGGUACCUAAUCAGAAAGCCACGGCUAACUACGUG